AAUGAACGUUGGCGGUGUGGAUUAGGCAUGCAAGUCGUGCGCGAAAUGUAGCAAUACAUGGAGAGCGGCGAAAGGGAGAGUAAUACAUGGUUAGCUGCCCUCGGGACUGGGAUAGCGGCGGGAAACUGCCGGUAAUACCAGAUGACGUCUUCGGACCAAACGUGUAAACCGGCCCGAGGAGGUGACCAUGGCCUAUCAGCUUGUUGGCGGGGUAACGGCCCACCAAGGCAAAGACGGGUAUGGGGCGUGAGAGCGUGCCCCCACUCACUGGGACUGAGAACUGCCCAGACACCUACGGGUGGCUGCAGUCGAGAAUCUUCGGCAAUGGGCGCAAGCCUGACCGAGCGACACCGCGUGCGGGAUGAAGGCCUUCGGGUUGUAAACCGCUGUCGUAGGGGAGGAAGGUCUGGUGUAUAGCCAGGCUUGACCGAUCCUAGGAGGAAGGGCCGGCUAAUCUCGUGCCAGCAGCCGCGGUAAUACGAGAGGCCCAAACGUUAUUCGGAUUUACGU
rnacentral:rRNA from 1 species